GAUGAACGCUAGCUACAGGCUUAACACAUGCAAGUCGAGGGGCAGCAUGGUCUUAGCUUGCUAAGGCCGAUGGCGACCGGCGCACGGGUGAGUAACACGUGUCCAACCUGCCGUCUACUCUUGGACAGCCUUCUGAAAGGAAGAUUAAUACAAGAUGGCAUCAUGAGUCCGCAUGUUCACAUGAUUAAAGGUAUUCCGGUAGACGAUGGGGAUGCGUUCCAUUAGAUAGUAGGCGGGGUAACGGCCCACCUAGUCUUCGAUGGAUAGGGGUUCUGAGAGGAAGGUCCCCCACAUUGGAACUGAGACACGGUCCAAACUCCUACGGGAGGCAGCAGUGAGGAAUAUUGGUCAAUGGGCGCAGGCCUGAACCAGCCAAGUAGCGUGAAGGAUGACUGCCCUAUGGGUUGUAAACUUCUUUUAUAAAGGAAUAAAGUCGGGUAUGUAUACCCGUUUGCAUGUACUUUAUGAAUAAGGAUCGGCUAACUCCGUG
rnacentral:rRNA from 1 species